rnacentral:rRNA from 1 species
UAACAAGGUCUCGUAGGUGAACCUGCGGAGGGAUCAUU